UACGUAGGGGGCUAGCGUUGUCCGGAAUCAUUGGGCGUAAAGCGCGUGUAGGCGGUCCGGUAAGUCCGCUGUGAAAGUCGGGGGCUCAACCCUCGGAUGCCGGUGGAUACUGUCGGGCUUGAGUACGGAAGAGGCGAGUGGAAUUCCUGGUGUAGCGGUGAAAUGCGCAGAUAUCAGGAGGAACACCAAUUGCGAAGGCAGCUCGCUAAACUAUAACUGACACUGAGGCACGAAAGCGUGGGGAGCAAACAGG
rnacentral:rRNA from 1 species